rnacentral:tRNA from 1 species
AAAUAUGAAGUGAUAAAUCACAAUUAGUUUCGACCUAAUCCUAGAUGUAAUACAUCCUUAUUUUU